ensembl:lncRNA
UUUAAUAAUACAACAACAACUACUACUACUAGUAGUAGCAUUGUUAUAACCUUAGCUUUAUCAUAAUAAUUAAUCAACCUUUUUAAUUGUUUUUAUUAUUAUUAUUAUUAUUUUGCUAUUCUAAUAAUAAUUAUUUUUAUUAUUUAUUAAUUUUUUAUUGAUAUUUAUUGAUAUUUGGAUACAGUGACUCCUUUGGGCAAUCUUUUCCAGAAAUCCAACCUGGAAUUUCUUGAAUUGCAGUAUUCUGACCAAACGUGGUUUAUUUGAAUUGGAGUGAAGGUUCAUUUCACAGGCACAGUAACUAGAGUGUAAGAUUUUACUGUUUAAUAGAUCACAUUGUUUCCAGUACUGCACUCACCUUUUUCUGCAGCGUUCCAUCUCUGUUUGUCCAAAGCAUAUGAGAGAACAUUGAUCUGCUCUUUCUUCUAGACCUCUGAUAAACCCCAGCACCCCUCUCUGUAGAGAAGUGAACUGUUGACAUGAUCAGCAGAUGGACAUGACUGUUUGGUUAAUGAUUAGAGGAGAUGUUAUAACAUUGGCUUCACUUACCUGUGAGCAAAGUGCCAGUGACACAAACAACAGCACAGAUUCCUGACAGGAGUUGGUGUGUGAAAGAGGAGGAAUGCAGAAACAGCCGAUCUGGCAGCGUGUAAUGAGGCACACCUGAAGUGAAUGGAGCCUAAUCACCGCCGCUGUUAAAAGCUGAGCGCGCCUCUCCUCAAGAGAACGGUACGCGAGCCGUUGGACCUGCUGUUUUGAAUGGGACUGCACCCUUGACGUGGUCGAUGGGCCUGGAGGCUGGGCUGUUAUUCUCCCCCCAAGCGCCGUGGGCCAGGAAAAAUGAGUCACUGUGACGAAGCCGCCACUCAUUGCGCCCUGGACCAGAGAGGGGAGCACGUGCAGCCGCCGGACUCGGGCCUCUACCUGGACCCCAACUUUCUAAACAUUGACCUUCCUUCACAAUUCCCUGGCACAACAAGGACACCAGAUCCCCUGUUUAUUUUGGACACUAUUUCCCCUCAGAACCCUUUAAUCCCAUUUUGGAUAUUUUGUGUGAUUCUGUUAAAUAAAAU